rnacentral:rRNA from 1 species
UACGGGAGGCAGCAGUGGGGAAUAUUGCACAAUGGGCGAAAGCCUGAUGCAGCUAUGCCGCGUGUAUGAAGAAGGCCUUAGGGUUGUAAAGUACUUUCAUCGGGGAGGAAAAAAACAAAAACUAAUAAUUUUAAUUUUCUUUGACGUUACCCGAAAAAGAAGCACUGGCUAACUCCGUGCCAGCAGCCGCGGUAAUACGGAGGGUGCUAGCGUUAAUCAGAAUUACUGGGCGUAAAGAGCACGUAGGUGGUUUUUUUAAGUCAGAUGUGAAAUCCCUGGGCUUAACCUAGGAACUGCAUUUUGAAACUGAAAUACUAGAGUAUCGUAGAGGGAGGUAGAAUUCUAGGUGUAGCGGUGAAAUGCGUAGAUAUCUGGAGGAAUACCUGUGGCGAAAGCGGCCUCCUAAACGAAUACUGACACUGAGGUGCGAAAAGCGUGGGGGAGCAAAACAGGGAUUAGAUACC